UGCUACAUCAACAACAAACUGAAGCAAGAAAAGAGUGAUAAAAAACCUAGAAAUUGCUAAACAAAGUGUACAUUUGCGAAAUCUUCUUGUCCUCUGUGUCACGCACACUAAGCAUUUAGGUCCGCUCUCAGGAUUGACUGGUUUAACAGAUCAAGAACCGGAAAAAGGUGGAAUUUCCUGCAACUUGAUUUUAUUGCUCGAUGCAGACAGCAAAUACAAUAGAGUCGAUACUGAAACGUGAUGUUGUUCUCUGAGAUAAAGGACUGAUUACUAAAUACUGAUGCUGGCUUAAGUUAGAACCUUUCCGGUUUUUAUUAAACAUUAUCGCAGGAAUGUUAGCUCCUGAAAAGGAAAAUAGUCGAGUUCACUGUGUAAUUAGCUUGGAAAAGGACCUGGAGGAUUCUAAGAAUUUUCUCAUUAGCUCGAUUGGUGCCAAUUUCACUCAGUAUUCAGGAAAAUUGUCUCUUUUCCUAAUGUGGUGGGUGAUCUGAUGUUGAUAUUAAUAAAAACUUACUCUUUCCGUCCUAAGAU